rnacentral:rRNA from 1 species
UACGAAGGGGGCUAGCGUUGCUCGGAAUCACUGGGCGUAAAGCGCACGUAGGCGGGCUCUUAAGUCGGGGGUGAAAGCCCGGGGCUCAACCUCGGAAUUGCCUUCGAUACUGGGUAUCUUGAGUUCGGGAGAGGUGAGUGGAAUGCCGAGUGUAGAGGUGAAAUUCGUAGAUAUUCGGCGGAACACCAGUAGCGAAGGCGGCACUCUGGGCCGGUACUGACGCUGAGGAGCGAAAGCGUGGGGAGCGAACAGG